AAUAAAUACCCCGGUAGUCCUAGCCGUAAACGAUACUCGCUAGGUGUCGGCCACGGUGCGACCGUUGUCGGUGCCGUAGGGAAGCCGUGAAGCGAGCCACCUGGGAAGUACGGCCGCAAGGCUGAAACUUAAAGGAAUUGGCGGGGGAGCACCACAACGGGUGGAGCUUGCGGUUUAAUUGGAUUCAACGCCGGAAAUCUUACCGGGACCGACAGCAAUAUGAAGGCCAGGCUGAAGACUUUGCCGGAUUAGCUGAGAGGUGGUGCAUGGCCGUCGUCAGUUCGUACUGUGAAGCAUCCUGUUAAGUCAGGCAACGAGCGAGACCCACGCCCACAGUUGCCAGCGUACUCUCUGGAGUGACGGGUACACUGUGGGGACCGCCGCUGCUAAAGCGGAGGAAGGAAUGGGCAACGGUAGGUCAGUAUGCCCCGAAUAUCCCGGGGCUACACGCGAGCUACAAUGGUUGGUACAAUGGGUAUCUACCCCGAAAGGGGACGGGAAUCUCCUAAAACCAAUCUUAGUUCGGAUUGAGGGCUGCAACUCGCCCUCAUGAAG
rnacentral:rRNA from 1 species